AGCGCGACCUGGUGCUCCUGCGCAGUGACUAGCCAAACGCCAUUUUGAACAGAAGUGUCGUUGUACUUUAAACUAGCGGGCGGCAACGGCGGCUCCUGGGUGCUGAGGAGAGUUGAUGUUGCUAUUGCCCGUCCCGGCUCGUGCCAUAGGGCGCCCAAAAUCCCCACCGGGGCUCAGCAUUGUAGCCUCCCUGGCCGGAGCGGGAAAGGAGACUCUUCAGAAAGAUGAGAGAAGAUUCCAUUAGUCAUUUGGAUAAAAGCCAUGGCAUGCCUGUUUGAAAAAGACAGCAUUUACUCUCCUGAAUCUACUGUGUCUUCUCUCCUAGCAAGCUGCAGCCUUAACAGUAGUAACUCCUACUCAAACAGCUCAAUUCAAUACAAAGACAAAGUAUACAACUCUGCAUCUCAGGCUUUGGAGGCCUAUAUUGAAGAUUUUGACCAAAGUCUUAUGUCUUCAGAAGUAAGCACUGGAAAAAUCUGCGUAGGUCAGAGUACUCCUAAAGAUAAGUCAGCAAAGUAUGGGUCUGUACAAAAAUACGCUUUGGAGGGCUUUAACCAGCAAGGAAAACUCAACUCCAUUGCCUCACCUUUUAUGAGACAAACGGUUUGUGACCCAGACUUGAUUAGUCUCACCACAGAUGAUCUACUAGCAUUUCCAUCAGAUGGAUCACUGCCUUUUAUCCAUAGGAUUCCUUCUGGGUCAGGGCUUCAAAGUGGCAAGUGGAUUAGGAAGUCACUGAAAAAAUCUGCCUUCUGUCCUUAUCAAACGUCUUCAUUUGAUGUUGAAAAAGACUUUGAUUUCCAAGACAAUGGCAAAGCUGUGGAUAAUCGAAAUCAUUACAGAGACAUUGACAAAGAGAAACACAAUGUGUAUAAAUCUCACAAAUAUAAUUCUAUAUUUUCUAAAGAAAAUGCAGGGGAUUGCCUUUUUCAACAACACUCUGAGUCCAUCUCUGUCAAGAAUUAUCCAAGGUGGCUUACUAGCCAUAAGUCUGACUUGAAUGUGUCAGGGAUAAGUAGUAUUCCUGAUUUCAAGUACCCAAUCUGGCUAAAGAGUCAUAACCUUUUAUGUGAUUCAGCUAAUCAAAGUUUUAUUCAAACAUUUAACAUGCAAGAUGAAUUUUCCUCUUCACAAAUGUGUGAAAGUAUGGAAAAAAAACACAUUGUGGAUAAAUUAGACUGCAAUUCUUUUGAACAAAAUAGUUAUCUGGAUCCAGCAGGUGACCGUGAAGUAACAGGAAAUUGCCGAUAUGUCAGACCAAGUGCAGACUUCCAACCUGGCAAUGUUCUCUCAAGACAGUCCAAACAGCCAUUCAGAGAUGACCAGAUUGAGUUGCUUAUCUUGAAGGCAAAGAGAACUUUAGAGUCUUCUGUCGAGAAUUUAUCAAGUGCUUUGAAAAAUGAUGGCAGCCCUUGUACAGUAGAUAUACUGGAAGCAGAAAGAUCCUGGGAAAAUGUUCCAGUUGCUUUCAAAUCUCCAGUGCCUGUAUACUGUGAGGAAGAUGAGACCACUCUACAAUCUCCCAAGGCUAACAUUGUUAAUGAAUUCCUUGAAGACUGUUUAAAUAAUGACAAUCAGGGCGUGUUGAGAAUUGCAGUUGUUGGGAUCCCUUCAGUGCCCUCCGUCUGGCAGUGUCUUCUACUUGCAAGCUGUGCUCUGCUGGAUCCAGUGACCCCUAGUGGCUGCCAGCAGUUCUGCAACCCAUUUCUGUAGAGGAAAAGGAAAUUCUAUACAAAACCCAUUAAUUUCUGCUCAACUUCUGCACGCGCAGCGGCACAGAAUUCUCUCACAAGUCCUUGCCUGAAAUCAUCUGAUCGAUCAGAGGAUCACAAGAUUGUCACCUCAGCUGCAUUGCCCAAUCAUGACCUCAUCUGUCUCAAGGUCUUCUGCCACUGGGAUUGACAGAGGUCUUGCAAUUCUUUGACCAAAAUUUGAGACUGUGGAUGAAGAGACAGAACUUCUACUGUAACUUGCACCUCACAAUUCUUAGGAGUAACAUCGUAUGAAGGGGGAAAAACAAAGUGGCUAAAUUGGAAUCUCUGGGGAAGAAGGUUCCUCCAGAAGCAUCAACCAUCUCAACAUUUGACUCAUAGCUCGGGGUGUUAGACUCGCAGUAGAGGUCUCCCUAUGGGCUGCGGAGCAAACAGAUACCGGACACAGUGUUGGAAAAUACCUUUUCUGGAGGAAACCACCAUGGGCCAGUUGAAGCUUUAAAGCUAAUGUUGUUCAACCUUCAAGCAGUUCAUGAAAGCUUUAACAAGAAUAAAAGUGCUGAACAAAAUGAUGAGUUUAAAAAA